rnacentral:rRNA from 1 species
AGUGAUUGAACUGAAGAGUUUGAUCCUGGCUCAGAUUGAACGCUGGCGGCAUGCUUUACACAUGCAAGUCG